rnacentral:lncRNA from 1 species
AUUCAACAGUUGAAAUAAAUGGGUUUAGGAAAAUACAUUGAUGCCAGAUUAAACAAAUCGAGAAUAUUUUUUUAAUUAGAAAGAAUAAUCAUUACGUUGGCUAAAGAAGCAGGAAUCAAAAAUAGCUUUAAAAGACUAGAAUGUCGGGGGUAAAACAAAAAGGGUAAGAGUUCUAAGGGGAAAGCUAUGUGUUUGGACUAAGAAGUCAAAGUGUCCAUUUCUAUGAGAGAGGAUAUUUGGUUUAACCAACUGUGAGUUCAAUGAAUGAAGAGCAGAUGUGUUUGCUAAGAAAGCUCCUGUGGUUUAGGCUGAGUUUAUAGAAAGUGUCUACGUGGUCUUGCUGGAUUUUGUGUUGAUUAGACCUCACCAGGAAUCAUCUGUUCAAGGAGAGUGAAAGAGACUCCUGAGGGGUAUCCAGAGGGAGGUGUGUGGAAUAACUUGUGGUCUAGAAACUGUAUACAUGUUGUAGAAGGGGAUGAAUAUGGCGAGGGAGGGGGCGCAAUGGGUGGUCCCUGAGUACACCGUUUUCACACAAAAGAUGGAUUCAGUUUCUUCUGUGCAAUAUGAGAAGGAAAAGCAGGAACCAAUGGGUCUAUGUUUUAGGGAUAAAAAUAUUGGCUGACUAUGAGGAAUGUCAUAGAUGAUGAGGAGGCAGCUUCCUGGCUUGGGGUAAUGAUUAUUUGAAGUGUUUAUACUUAAAGGCACUGAGUUAUUCCAGCAAAACCAAAAAUCUAAAGAAAAAGACAGUCUUUGGCAUGGUGUUUUCCAUUGUUAGAGGUGGUUGGAACUAGGCUGAAAGAUCAGUUUUCAGGGAUGUGGUUUUAUCUGGGAACCCUUUAAGCCCUCCAAUCCUAAAUUUCUGGCAGAUUCUUCAAGGGGAGAGUCUGAAAAAAAGGUAAUUGCUACACCCUGUUGAAGAAGAGUCUCUUUCAUGCAAUUUGUUCAUAUGAUCAUUCCCCUAAUUUUGAUUCAGUUAGUGACCAUAAUCUCUCAGUGUAAAUAAACUUUCUGUGACAUUUGCAGUGCACAAUUAUAUCUCUUUCAGUUCAUAUAGAUAUUUUAGCACUUGAAACACUCCUGCAGUUUUCUGGGCCAGAGCCUAGCGCUCCCCCUCACUCUCCACACACUAUUUGAGUAGCUUUACUCAACUUGGAACAGAGUUUUGAAAGGUGCCUCACCAGAAUAAAGUUAACUUUACAAAUGGGGGGAAAGUCUGUAAACUGUACAUUUUGUGGCAACGGCUUAAGUUCUGUGAACAGUAUAGAAAUCAAAGAGACAUCAUCACCUGGCACAAUGGAAUAAUCUCAAAACUCUCCUCUCCCACGGAAAAGAAGGAAAACAGACUAACAAGGAAAGAAAAACCAAAGGAGGAAGAAAAACAUAAAAUGCUUUUUGGAAAUUUAGAGAACUGAAUGAGUGAGGAAAAACUCAGUGAGACAGAAGAUAAAAUAAUAGGAAACCAUUCUAGCAGCUGAGAAGUACUUAAGCCUUUUGAGACUCCCUCUUAAGGAGGGUUGGGGAAGAUAUAUUUUGAGUCCAAAGCUCGUCUGGUUUUUGUGAAGUAUGGCUGCUGAAGUGGGCGAAGUGGUCACAAGAUCUCUUACAUGUACAAUGGAAGAGAAGCUUGCGAGUUAGGAAUCUUCUCUAAAAUGUGCUGAACUUAAAGGCUAUUUGUAAUCAAUUCCUCCGAGGAGUCAUAUUUCAUCAUGUUCUUCUCUCAAAGAUCCUGACUAACAGCUUCCUCUUCAUAAUUGCCUUUAUAACUUUUUCAAGAGGCUGAAGGAAGUGCAGGGAAAGUAUGUGAGAAUUCUAGACUCUUCUUUAUAAAUAUUUUCUGGCUCCUGUUCAUCAUGGUCACCCCCUUCUAAUCACAGCACCUCGCUCGGGGCCCAGCACCCAUGCACACUCACAAAAUUCUGUUGACCAGUUCUUAAGAAGAUAAAAGCCUACUGCCAGGACAACUUGUUCACAUUUAAGAGUUUUGCCUCAAAAUAUAACCUUUGAUUAAAUGCAUUGGGGAAAAUGUCUGUAGCAGGCAGUCCAGGCAAAGAUAAAAGUAACUUAUUUUCUGCUGGAGAUUGAAUGUGGGUUUGUUUUUCACUGCUCCAGCCUGAGCUGCUCUGCUCAUUGGUGAGCUGGGAAAUCCCUUGGGACUAUCAAGCUCAGUGGUGUGUGUGUGUGUGUGUGUGUGUGUGUGUGUGUGUGAGAGAGAGAGAGAGAGAGAGAGAGAGAGAGAGUGAGAGAGAGAGAGAGGGGAAAGCAUCUUUCAGGUUUAGGGCUUUACCUCCAUAUGUGCAGCAAUAGGGGUGGGCAGCAGCCAGCCAAAAGCCCAAAGGGCUCUUAUCUUGAGUAAGAGUUAGUGAAGGCUGUUGACAGACCUUCUUUUGGAUCACAUAAGCCUCUGGAUUUGGGGACAGCUCAGGGUGUAGAGGCCAUUGGCUUAGACUGUGGAGAUCCUGGACUUCCUGCCAAAUUUAGGAAGCAGGCAGUGGAGUUGGCAAGCAUUUAUUUUGGAACUAUUGAGGAAGUGUGGUGGUACCAGCUCCCCAGCGCUAGGGAUCUUCUUAACCAGGCAUCUAAGCAUGCACUAGAUGAAAGCUGAACAAAAAAUAUAAACUGAUGACCACAGGUCAGUUUACUCACUUCCACCAGAUGGAAUGUGGAGGAAGAAAGAUUAUUUUUUAAAAAAGAUUAUUGAUGAAUUCUUCACUAACCCUUCCCCCUGCCCCCGCAUUCCAACCUCCUAUAUGUCCUUGUGGGAUGCUCUGAGUUCUUAGAAGAUGCUCCUGUCCUUCAGUCCUAGGGCACCUUCUGUUCGUGAAGAGGACAGGCAUUCCUGAGAAAUAUGGAACAUGAGGUUUUGCAGACUGCCUGGUGUUACUGCCCUCUGACCCCCCGCCCAGAAGUGACAGAAAAGCUCACCCUAGGGUGUUCAGAGAGGAAGCCUUCUGCAUAUCAGCUCAACUCCAGGGGUCCUGAACUUGCACAGGAUCCCCAGUGGGGGCUGAGCAUCAGGGCAGUUGCACACUUGUGGAAGGAGGACCCUGUGAGCAUCCUUUUGCAGCCAGGGCCAGGAGUUAAGUUCUGAGAUGCACUGGAGUGGCUGAGUGAGCCGUGAACCACUGGCAGCCUGGGCUCCUCACCAAGAGCAGAUCCCAUUCUGUUCUUCAUGUGGGAAGUCAGGCCCUUGGUGCCCAGAUGCUCCUGUGGGGCACACAGUGGUCUAGGCUGGGCACACUCCUGGCUCCUGGUUCUUCAUUCUCUCAGCCUGUUCCAUUCAGGUGGGCCACUAUUUGUUUGUUUUGUUUUUAAAUAUGUUAUGGAAUUUAUUUGUAUUUCACCAUUUAAAAGCCAGAACAUAAGAAAUUUCACUUUCUGGAAAGUCACCUUAUUAGAAAUACAUGAAGUGUAUGUAAGGUUUGAGAGAACUUAUUUUAGAAAUUAUGAUGAGGAAGAUUUAAACCUCCACACCCCCACCCAUCUUCUGUAGGGGGAGGUGCACAGCAGCCAAGCAGCCCAAACCACUUCUGCCACUUGCACCCAGACUAGAAACACUUCCAUAGUUAGACUAGAGAUGUUUCCAUUGAAAAAGUAGACCUGACUCCAUAUUCUCUUUGGAUCAUAUUCCUUUCAGUGAGUUGUAGGUUGAGUUCUGUCCCAGUUCUUAAAGUUUCCAGAGCCUCUCGAUUCACUGUCUCCAGAAAAUGAAAUGUCUUCUAUUGGGGUGGCUUGCAUGCUUGGGUUGCCCAGAAAGCAGGGCCUAAGGCAAGGGCUUGAGGACAUCAUGGCCUGAACACAGGGACCUGUGACCUUCCAUCUCCUGGGGCCAUCCUCUGGUCCAGGGCAUGCAACUAAAGAAACCAUGAUUCAGAGCCACCUAUCCAGACAAGGUAGAGACAGGUGGAAGAAUGUACGCCCUGUUUCCUGUCUGCUACGGUAUCUGCCCUCCCUCUGUUAACCUUCCUGCCCUUUGGGUUGUGUGCGUGAGCACCAAGCAAGCUCCCAUAACAUUGUGCAUCUUCUGUUGAAAGAGAGGCUCCAGGUAGGUAAGGAUUGUGUGCUUUGAAAUAAGGUGAAGUAGUGUGAGGUUACACGUCCCUGAAGUUUGCCAAAACUCACAUAGGGUUGAUUAAUACUCAGCUGCUGGAGCAAGGAGACAGGUGAGGCUCAGAGGAGUUGAAGGAUUGCUAGAAGUGUCUGAUAAUGGUGGGAAGAAGAAAAGGGCCACGUGGCAGCUCUUUAGAACUUCCAAUGCCUUUCCCACACCUGCUGUCUGGAGAUGCAGGGGUUCCUGAUUCCUGACACUUCCUGGAGUAGUGCUGGAAAGCUUGCUUCUCAGCUGGCCACACUGAAGCCACUGGGCUUGACCAACCUCAUUGUAAACAUGUUCCUUUCCUUGCCCCAAUUCGUCCAAACACACCGUGGGAAUAAGGACUACAGUUGUUUUUUACUUUCCUUGGAAAUAGAGAUUUUCUUGAUCUUUCUCUAGAGUAACUGAACAUUCUGGUUUUCCCUGACUAUCCCAGAUUCAGCAAUUGAGAGUUCAGUGCCCUGGGAAACCAUUCAGUCUGGGCAAACCAGCAUAGUUGUUCACCUUACAUUGUCUGGAGGAGACUUUUUUUUUUAACAAAAGGGGACUUUACUCAAUUAUAUUAAUCUGAAAGUCCUAUCAAACCCAUUAUUCAUGGUGAUUUUUCUAACUCUUUAUUAGUAAUCUGGAGUUGGGAGAAACCAUCAGGGACUGCUGAGGGGACACAAUUUUAAGCCACAACCAGAGAAACAUUUGAUUUACCAAAAGUAUUAUCUG